GGGGGCUUAGCUCAGCUGGUAGAGCACCUGCUUUGCACGCAGGGGGUCAGGAGUUCGAAUCUCCUAGCCUCCACCA
rnacentral:tRNA from 1 species